GUUUGCUGACUGAUGGUUCUCUCCUGACUGCCCAGAAGAGAUAACAGCUCAGGCCCACGACCCUUUCCCAUCCUCGGCCACACAGUGGGGGACAGCAAGGAAGAAAAGGCCCCACUUCCAGCCUGUUCAUUCAGUGUCUCCCAGGCGGGGCCCAGGCGUCUCUUUUCUGAGUGAGUCUGCAGAGUCCUACACGGCUUCUGGUCACGUAUCCACUAGAAGUUAUAGGCUGAUGACAUCCUCUCCAGAACAUUCUGGUCACAGAGGUAAGGUAAAAGAGCCUCCCCAGGCUGGAACAGAAGUGAUAACUACAGUGAGCUCACAGAUGAAUGCCGCUGCCCUAAGUUGUGCUGUCAGCUACAUCUAGGCCUGGGACACUAAUGGCUCCAUGAGGACAUAUUGGCCACCACUGGAAAAUGCUGGGACCACAAUAAGGCUGACCUGGAGGAAUGCAGAGACAAAAGUUGGAGAAAAUGUGACAUUUCUGAACACAAUUUUAAAUCUAAGAGAAGACUGAGAUUCAGAAUGUUAAGAAAUUUGACAGUAACACGCAGCUGAUAAGGAAAGCCAUCAUGUGAUCUCAGAAGUGAUUGUAUACUCCCUGCCAAAAUUAACCGGUUUGGGCUGAGGUUCACAAAACCAAAG